GCAGAACAAAUUGUUCAUCACCUCAAACAUCUGAAUGAUUCUGUAGUACAGUCACCUAUUUAAUUUAAUAUAUGUUGGUAGCAAAUUGUUUUUAUUAAUUUAUAUGGCUUUAUGUAACAUUUUUCUUUCUGGAGCAUACCCUGAAGCAGUAAUGCUGUGUCUCUAUAUUCUUUGCAGGUUCAAAAGCCAGUGAAUCAAGUUCUUUCGUCACUUGUCAAUCAAGAAGUUGGCCAUUAGAUUGAGAGUCAUAAUUUAAGUUCUGAUGAACAGCAUCGAACUUAUAAUGAAGAAGAAUUUGAGGUUCGGAUCU
rnacentral:misc_RNA from 1 species